GAUGAACGCUGGCGGCGUGCCUAAUACAUGCAAGUCGAGCGAACAGACGAGGAGCUUGCUCCUCUGACGUUAGCGGCGGACGGGUGAGUAACACGUGGAUAACCUACCUAUAAGACUGGGAUAACUUCGGGAAACCGGAGCUAAUACCGGAUAAUAUAUUGAACCGCAUGGAUCAAUAGUGAAAUACGGUUUUGCUGUCACUUAUAGAUGGAUCCGCGCCGCAUUAGCUAGUUGGUAAGGUAACGGCUUACCAAGGCAACGAUGCGUAGCCGACCUGAGAGGGUGAUCGGCCACACUGGAACUGAGACACGGUCCAGACUCCUACGGGAGGCAGCAGUAGGGAAUCUUCCGCAAUGGGCGAAAGCUUGACGGAGCAACGCCGCGUGAGUGAUGAAGGUCUUCGGAUCGUAAAACUCUGUUAUUAGGGAAGAACAAAUGUGUAAGUAACUAUGCACGUCUUGACGGUACCUAAUCAGAAAGCCACGGCUAACUACGUG
rnacentral:rRNA from 1 species